AUUGUUAUCUUUAUUUCUCAAGAUAACAAAAAACACCACCUCUUAUAACAUGUUCUGAACGCGUUGGUAAAGCCUUAUAGAACCAGAAAACAUACAUUAGAGCCUAGAUGAUGCACUCCUUGGCUUGGAGUGAGAAAUUUUAAAGAGAAAGAGUGAAAUUUAAAGCAAAAGAAUGAGAGAGUAAGAUUUAGAGAAAGAAUGAAAUCUAAAGAGAAAGCUUGAAAAAGUGAAAUGGAAUAAGAAAGCUUGAAAGAAUAGAAUAUAGAGAAAGCUUGAAUGAAAUCUAAAGAGAAAGUUUGAGAGGAUGAAAUCUAACCCAGUAGCUGCAGGGGUCAUGUUUCUUAAAGGCCUCUCUAAGCGAAUUAAUGGGAAAAAUUCAUCACUCACGCAAACCAUUUCAUAAUAUAUAUCAACGCAUUUGUGGUCAGUUUAUGCAUCAUCUAUUUUUGGGGUUUAUAUCAUGGCAAAAAUUUGGCCCGUUGCUGGUACAUGGUAAAGCCACAAAUUUGGCCCGUUGCUGGUACAUGGUAAAGCCACAAAUUUGGCCUGCUGGUACAUGGUAAAGCCACAAAUUUGGCCCGCUGGUACAUGGUAAAGCCACAAAUUUGGCCCGUCGCUGCUACAUGGUAAAGCCACAAAUUUGGCCCAUCGCUGGUACAUGGUAGAGCCACAAAUUUGGCCCGUCGCUGCUACAUGGUAAAGCCACAAAUUUGGCCCAUCGCUGCUACCGGGUUAAAGAAGAAGCUUGAAAGAUUGAAAUUUAAAGAGAAAGACUAAAAUUUGCAGAAAAAGAAUGAAAGAGUAAAAUAUUUCAACAUUUCCCACAAUUACUAAUCUUCUUAUGUGAUAUUUUGAUAACCAAGGCAGAAAAAAAUAAAUUCAGUAAAUAUUUAAAGUUCAGCUCAAGCAAUAUUUAUUUUUUUUCAGGAACGUAUUUUUUCUGCAAUAAGAGUUAAGGAAAAACAAGAAAAAGAAGGGAUGCUGAGAGAUACUAUAAUCAUUUAAAAUAUAACUCCAAAAACCUUACUAAUUUCCAAAGGUGUUUCUCCUCUUCUUAACAUGUCCCUAUAAGGCUUACAAGAGAGUCAUCCCACAUUUACAAGGAUAAGAUUGGAUGAAACACAACACAGCCAGAUAUUUGAGACAUUCGGAAGAGAGCGUAAGAAUCAAACCCCAAUAUUCCAUAAACAUAUCACUCUCCUAUUACGACUGAGCAAUAUUCAUAAACAUAUCAUUCUCAUUACGACUGUUUUCCAAGGCCACAGAGAAGAGGUUUUCAUGGGUGACUUAAUUGUCCGUUCAUGAUGCAGGAGUCGGGUAAAGCUAUCACUGGGAUCCCAAUACAGUCCAUGUAAAUCCCAGAAACUUCCACGAUAGGCUUUCCGAGCAGGCAAACUGAGAUGCUACAAAGAAGAUAAGCCGGGUUUUCAUGGGUAACUUGUCCGUUCGUGAUGCAGGAGUUGUGUAAAACUAUCACUGGGAUCGCAAAACAGUCCAUGAAAAUCCCAGCAACUUCCACGAGAGGCCUUUCGAACAGGUGAACUGACGCGCAGAUAUGUUUAAGAAUAGGAGAUAGUGAUUUUUUUCUAGUUCGUCCUGGGAGAGACAGGUUACACAUCACAGGAAGAACAAGAAAUGGGUUACAAGGGAUAAGCGACCUUGUGUUUGGUGUACUCUAGGUUGCUUUUUUCUAGUUCGUCCUGGGAGAGACAGGUUACACAUCACAGGAAGAACAAGAAAUGGGUUACGAGGGAUAAGCGACCUUGUGUUUGGCGUACUCUAGGUUGCUCUUCCCUUGUAGGUUACUCGUGUAUCUUGUUCUUCCUGGGAUAUGUGGUUUGCCUUUCCCAGUGCAGACUACGAAAAAACGGCUUUGUCCCUUACGUCCCCUUCUCUGGAUGCCUCUAUAUAAGUCUUCUAUGUAUAUUGUCACAAAUGAAAACUCUUUGUGGUGGCGAGAGAGAUGGCAUACAUUUCAAGCACUGAUAACAUGAUAUACUCUUCAAUAAGCACCUGAUAUAUUGAGCAGAGGUGGUGGUGGUGGUGAUAGUGGUGGUGGGGUGAGUGUACCUCCCUCCCUCCCUGCCUGAGCUGCCCCGGAACCACCCUGGGACUAAGGACACCCCCCCCCGCACACACACACACAUACAUGCUGACUGCCUGGUGUGUGUGUGUGUGGUUUGCCUAUGUCAACAUCUUGGUAUGCUCAUAAGUGUGGUGGUUCGAACGCUGAUAGACACAGUAGCUUAACCUGCCCCCUUGACUGCAGAUUUCCUACCAGAAGACAUCACCAAGCUACAGGAAUGGAACAAAAAGUGGCUGCUACAAUCCAAUGAAGAAAAAUGUAAAGUCCUGCACCUUGGGAGGGGAUAUCCAGCAUACCAAUACCACAUGGGAUACACUCCACUAUCCACCACAGAGGCAGAGAAAGACCUGGGAGUUAUAUGUUACCAGGCUACCAGUGAAGGCCAAAUCCGUGCCAAUCGCAGCGGAUGGGUUUAAACAUUUACGUCCCGAGGGCCCUGACAAAAUUUAAGAGGUACUUCAUCACCAUCGUAAUCUAUUAUCACCGAACUCAUUGCUAAUUAAAGAGGAAAUCACUCAACAAGAAUUUUAUAUAAGACAAACAGGUAGUCAGGACAUAACGGGGUAUCAUUAUCAGAAAGCAGACCUUGUUCAAGACUGAUAGUAUACAUAUUUCUAUGCAACAGACAUAACCACAGAGGUACUGGAUAUCAACAGACAUGCACUGGGGCAGACACAACAAGGUUCAAGGAAAAGCUUACAAAAAUGGUUAACAUGUUUGAGUUGAUAGGGAGCAACAUAUGUUUACUUUUGAGAUAAUUUCAUAAACCUGUUAACUUUAUCAGACAAAAGGUUCAAAGCUUACAAAAAUGACUUACAUGUUUGAGUUGAUAGGUGGCAAAAUGUGUUUACUUUCGAGAUAAUUUCAUAAACCUAUUAACUUUAUCAGACACAAGGUUCAAAGCUUACAAAAAUGACUUACAUGUUUAAGUCAAUGAAUCAACACAUAUUUACUUUCAAGAUAAUUUCAAAAACCUGUUAAC